GCCCUGGUAGCACAGUGGUUAAGUGCUUGGCUGUUAACCAAAAGGUUGGUGUUUUAAACCCACCAGUGCU
rfam:Loxodonta africana unplaced genomic scaffold scaffold_32, whole genome shotgun sequence.